AAUAAGUGUAAUUUUGCACUAUUCACGUUCAACGUUUCACUGUUCGUCUUAUUUGAAAAUUUUUUAUGAUUAGUAGUUUCAUUGCUAUUAGAUGAUAAAACAUUAAUAGUACUUUAUGUGUGACUAAAUAUUUUUAAUUUUUUCAUAAAAUUUUUUAAAUAAGACGGACGGUCAAAUGUUGUGCACGGAUAUCCACGGCUGCACUUAUU
rfam:Oryza glumipatula chromosome 8, whole genome shotgun sequence.